rnacentral:rRNA from 1 species
CGGACGGGUGGAGUAACGCGUGGACAACCUACCCCGCACUGGGGGACAACAGCCGGAAACGGCUGCUAAUACCGCAUAUGCGCACGGCCCCGCAUGGGGCCGCGCGGAAAGCGCAUGCGGUGCGGGAUGGGUCCGCGUCUGAUUAGCUUGUUGGCGGGGUAACGGCCCACCAAGGCGACGAUCAGUAGCCGGCCUGAGAGGGUGGACGGCCACAUUGGGACUGAGACACGGCCCAGACUCCUACGGAAGGCAGCAG